rnacentral:rRNA from 1 species
AUUUGUCAACAUCAUGACCAACACCGACUAGAACAAACGGUCCAGGAAAUAGUUAAGACGGACAAGACCAGAUUUUAUAGAUAAGGAAGGAUAGGAUUGAGUAACCCAAUUAGAUCCUCCAAAGAGUAACCUCGGUUAUCGUUGUUGGAGUACAAAGUAUACAAAAUUAAACACUCAAGACUGUAAGAAGUAAUAGACGUAUACUUUAGAUUAGGGAGGCAGGGUUUUAUAUUCUAGUAAAAAUUGUGAUAAUAUCACAGUUUUUACUAGAAUAUAUUACCGUGUCUCCCUCAUAAAGACUUGGAUAUACUCUACGUAUGUAAAUCAUAAUGGUCAGGCUCGAAGUCUCUUUCUGAUUGGUUAUGUACUAAAAAAAACGUUCCUUGGUAAUGUACUAGAGUACCAUCAUCUACCAAUAUAUAAAAACGAGGUGUAACGUAACAAUACAAGUCUUAUAUAAGUACGGAAUUGUUACGUCGACCUUCGCUAUGUGCACAAGUGACUUGACCUAAAAGAAUGAGUUGUUUUAUAUAACACUCCGAACUUUUUAUCAAAGAACUUCGUUUACGACCUCUCAUAUCGAUAUCACUGAUUAAUUUGUACCGUUCAUUAAAACGUACGGGAGAAUCAAAAUAAAACAUGUAGAAGAACCUCAAAAUGAGGUAAUUUAAAGUAAACUCGUGUACGUAAAUGACAUACUCUAUAAUCAGUACACAUUUGGAAGUCAAUCGAAACGACCGUGACAUAACGACAAUAAAAGUAUCACUUAUCUUAACCCCUGUAACAUGUAAAACACUACAAUUGUUCCUAGACUCUUACGUAAAGAAUUGAUUCAGGAUACUAGACGAAUCAUCACACAUGUUCUACGACGCAGGAAAGAGAAUGACAACCAACGUCUCCGACAUGGAUUUCCGAUUUUCCUAUGACCUCGAAUACUUGCACCUCUUUGAGUCUUCCCUUUUAUAACGUUGAGUAGAUGUCCAUAACGCCAUACCGUAAAUGAAGGUAUUACUGGAAUGAUAAGCUCACAAUACGGAAGGUAGGUACUAAGUACUCGUAAACUACGUCUCUCUCUCUCUUUGAAAAUGUCUUAACCAUGGUUAUAAUAGACGUUUCACCGGAAGAAUAGGACAUAGUUUAAUU